UGCAUUUCUGUGCACACAAAAGCUUGACACACAUGAAGAAAACAGAACCAGAGUGCAUUUCUUUCAUUCCUUCAGUCAUUUUUCUUUCAGUUUUUCACCAAACCCAGUCCAACAGAGAAAAGAGAUCUCUCUGCAGGCUGUGUAUGGAAUUAGGGCCCCAGCUGCAAUAUUCAGAUUCAUUGGGCCACCUGGGAUCACUGUAACCCCACACCUAGAAAGUGGCCUCCCUCCUCGCGGUGAGGGCCAUCAAGCAACCCUCUGCUGUGGGCCACGCUGACGUCAGUGGAUUUGAUAGCAGUAAGGGAGCACCAGGAAGGCCCCACCUGCCUGGCUGGGAAAUGGCAAAGUCUUGGUGUUCCUUCACUCACAGCCUCCAUUCACACUGGCUGAGAAGGGCAGAGGAAACAACUUGGAUGUUUCUUCUCCUACCUCUACUUCUCCUCUGUCAAUGGCAUCUUUCCAUCUCUCUACUGACCUGCUUUUUGUUUGUUUUUCUGCCUUUUUUUUUUUUUUUUUAGUUAUUGAAUCUUGUUUCCCCUGCCAAACUGCCUACAGCUCCUGUUCUGUUUAUUAUACUCAGCACAGAAAGGAAUGAAAAGGAACGAAUCUUGGAAGAGAAACAAAAGCCUGCAAUAAGCUGUAUUCUCAAUUACCCUGUAGCAUGCAGACUGAGAACAAGAGGAGUUGCCACGCUGACACAUACAGCUGAAAAUUGGGUUUGCUAGGUACAGCGAUGUUAAAGGCAGCCUUUCAAUGCCUCCCUCCCAGGCUGCCACUGUGCUGUGCCCUUCGCGAGCACUCCACCACUUAUUGGCACAGGUAUAAAAGCAUCCCUUGGACAAGAGACAGCUCAGGUAAGCUCUGGAGAAAUCAAAGCAGGAAAAGCGGAUAAAAGGCAGCAGUAUUUCUGUCACUACCUCACAGACGGGUUUAUUCUCUCUAACAAUUUCCACCUUGGCAAGCUCCAGGUCACUAAAACAACAUCCAGAACAAUGAAUUAAAGAUACUGAAAAAGAUGAUACAGAAUGCAGCAUUCUCACAGAAAUGUAGAAACUCCCCACACUUCCAUGCAUUGGUAAACCUCAGGCCUCCAUAAGGCUGAGCACUUUGUGCCUCGCUCACACUUGCUGAUUUUCAGUGCUAAAUCGUGCUGAAAACAAACAGAUUGUCAGAUCCAGGAAUCUCUGCAGGGCACAGUCCAGCGAUGUGCUUCAGUUCAGGGAUAACUGAACAGGGCUGGAUAACGCACAGACGCUCUCUCUGUGCGCAACAGUUCCCCUGUUACCCUGACAGGGAACAUCAGCCAUUUGUUUCAACGCAUUACUGCUUUCUAUCCUUUUUAGAACCAACUAUGGAGUUAACUGUGAUAUUUUCCCUGAGUGGGCAAACAAAGGAGGGAAGCGCAGAGCCCACCAGCACUGCCUGCUCAGGAUGUGCACUACUGCAGGACUCUGCAGAGAGUCUCCUAAAGACUGUACUGAGGCGGUGUCUCAUACAGAGCCACAUCCUCCUUAUUCUCGUGCAGCAGCAGCUGCAGGGACCUGGGGGAGUAGGAGGGAGGGAGCAGAGCAGCCAGGCAGCGCUCACACAUCCUCACCUGCAGCAGUGGGCAGUGAGCCAGCCUGCCCUCUGGGGGAAGGGGGAAGCGGAGGCAGGUGAUACCUGCUCAGUGUGCGGAGGAUGGCUUUCUGGGGGUUGGCUUUCCUUUCUUUUUUUUCAGGAAGCGUUUAUCUUCUGACAGUUUUCUGUGUGUUUUUUUUUUUUUUUCUAAUUUACAAACAAAACCCCGCUGCAGAUCUCUGAUUUUUUAUUUUUUUUUAUUUUUUGCUAGAAGAACUGAUCCAGAAAACAGAGACUGAUGAGACCCCCUUGUCCCAUAUCCGCCGCUAAUUCCUAGGGCACAUUCCCCUGCCCUGCCACAUUUUCACGAGCAUUGUUUGCAAAGCGCUGUUCUCUCUGAUAACGCGUCUUAAGACAUCUGUCUGUAUCCCUGAAGUUUCCCUCUUGGAUUUUGCAUCCUGAUUCUCUUAAAAACACAUCCUCAUCUGCAGGCAGCUUCAGCUGCCCAUUAUUUUCAUUUCUGGAUCUCUUUUCAGUAACGUGCUCAUUUCUGUGCCUGUCUUCAUAGAGACGUAUCUCUGCGGAGCAGUGUACUCUGAAGGACAAAGCAAACAACUCCUGGAUCCCCUCCCAGGCUAACCGGAGGAGAGGGGCAGGAGAGGAGCUGUUUUGUAUUUGGGAGAAACCCUAAUUCUCAUGGGACUCUGGAUCCUAUGGCACUACAGACAUUUCUCAGAGGAGCCACCACAAAAAAGAAACACCCCAGAAAGCUCGGUGUAUCCGUACUGGGCACACAGUCACACCUGAUGCUCACACAACGCUGGGCAGCCAAGAGCCAAGGGCUCAAAUUCAGUGGUGCACAGGGCUGAGGUUGGCAGAGGCAGAGCAACAAGCACCUUUGGCCCAAUGUAUGGGAACUGUUGAAUCAGGGCCUGAACCUCUGAUUGACCACCUGAGGCAAGCACUGAAUCAGCAGCAGGAGCACAGGUGAAGGCAAUUCAGCUGUGUGGCUGGAAGGGGUGGAGCCAGGCUGCACCUCUCCUAGAUCCCAUUUAAGGGCUGACUGCCAUUGGGGAAGGAUCUCUUUCUGGAGAUUGCUUCUUGUGGAGUUUCUCGUGAGCCUGCAACACUGGUGAGCGCUUUCAUUUAUCUAUGAUUAUCUUUUCCAAUGCGAUAAUCUUACUAAGCCUAACUUCUCUGUAUACGUAUUGUUCAUCCAAUACUUCACAACAUCUGUAUUCUUAUUGACCUUACACCCAACAGAUUAAAAGCGUACGCCAUUACAGCAUGGACAGCAACACUGUGCUGUUCCAUGAUACAGGGAGAAGGUGGGUAAUGCCAAGGCAGGACUCUGGUCACCACAGCCCAAAGGACAGGGCUAAGAUCAGAAGGAAGCCCUCCAGGCACCUUCUCACCUUCCAGCGUGUCAUCCUGAUGGGAUCUCUGUGCAAUCCCUCCUUCCACUUGGCACAAUACACUUUCAUUCACUGUAUCCCCGAUCCCCAGAUAGGGGCUAAGAAGGAGAAAAAAAGGCUUACACUAAAUGUUACUCCCCUAUUUUCUUCUGUACCAAUCUGAUUUACCCAUCUUGAGGGCAGUAGUGAUGGCUUGAUGUCUUAGGGGAUGCACAACUCGCAUACUUGCCAUAAAUAAUGGAUAGCACAUUACACAGUACUUAAUAUUUAAGUACCUGAAGAAGUAAAAGAAAAUGGAAACAAAAUAUCAUUAAGGGACUGACCUGUUUAAGUACUGCAGAAGGUAAAGAAUAUUUCAACUACAUUCUACUUCCCAUUUGGCCACAGGUCCCAAAUGAAAACCCUGAGAUGUUUCUCCAGCCACAUGUAACACUACUACUUACAACAAAAGAGCUGCCUUGCCCAGCACCCUGCAUCUCACUGUACAGCGAGCAGCACAGAUGCCUGUAAGACUGCAUAAAACCAGGACGAGCUCUUGGAAGAAUAUUCUUCCAGGCUAAUUUUUACCUUGGACACUUACCAGACCUAAGGGCAACGUCUUUAUAUUUUAAUCAUUCUUGAUGUAUUCUUUUUCAUCCUCAAAUUUUCAGAGUGCUUUCUGAAGCUGUGUAACUCCAGCUAUAACAGUAACAUGCCACACAACUUCUUUGUGACAAGGAAGUCCUCAGCCUUGGCAUAUUCAACUUUGUUCCUACCAGAUUCAACAUGAUUCCUACCAGAUCUUUGCCUGCAAAACAGUCUGCAGAAGAUUUUUUUUUUUUCCAGUCACUUUCUCCAGGCUAUGUAUGGCUUUAUAGACUUGUAUCAAAUCUCUUCCUUUCAGCUAUCUCUUUUCCAGGGUGAGAAGUCCUAAUCUACUCAGGUGUCCCUGUCACAAAAGCCACUGUGCAUCCAGAUUGCUUUGGUCAUCCUGCUCCAUGUCUCCUCCACAUCUGAUGUGUUUCCUGAGGGGCAGAGGGCAGGGCACCAUGUGCUGGUCACAAUGGAUGUACUGUUUGGACUUAGAAUAUAUAUGGCAUAAUUGUGGUUUCAACUUAGACUAUUCUGUUCCCAGCAUUCAGUUUGAGUUUUUGACCACUGCUGAAAGGCCUGAACUGACAGUCGCUUCAACUUAUCUACCAAUAUCAAAAAGAAAACACUGCUCCUGAGUGAUAAAAUAUUGGGACAGUUUCUUCCUAUUUACUACCCUUUAUGUUUAUCUGUACUGAAUUUCAUCUGCACUUCCUUUACCUGGCUCUCAAUUUGAGAUGAUCAUUUUGCAACUGACUCAUUUCCCUGAAAAAACUGAGCUCAUCAUCCAACUUCACCAUCUGACUGCAGCCCUGCUUUUCCACCUUGUUUGUGAGCCUAUCAAACACCACAGCCUGAGCACAGGUCCCUACAGAACCAGCCUUGUGACUUUCCUCCACUGCGGAAGCUUCAACCUUUUAUUUCUACCUCCUACUUCCCAAUUUUAAUUGAUUUUUCUGAAGCACCUCACUGUCACUGCGUGGCACCUGCAUUCCUUAACAGCUCUUUGAUGCUUUUUGUAAAUCCAAGUAAGUUAUAUCACCAGUCUGGCCCAUCCACUCCUCCAGUCCUACCCGACAGAUUACUAUAUCAUGAUUUUCAUUGCAAACCCCCGGAUGGCUCUUUGUCACUGAUAUUUAUUGAUAUUCCCACUCAUUCCAUUAUUAUUACAGCUUUUGCCAAUGUAUUUAUUGCAUAUACUAGGUUUACCACCGUGGAGCUCUGGGAACCUCACAGGAAACACUUAAAAUAGGAUGUUAAACUGGUGUUUGUCUUCCGGUACCGGGACAUAAGCCAGGAGUGCACACUGGAGGUAACACUUGCCCUAUUUCAUCAAUUUGCCAGGAAAGAUAUCUCACCGUGGGAGCCCCCCACGAUCCUUCACAGCAAACAUUAUGAAACAUCUCAUUUUUCUAAAUACUCCUUCAGCACAGUUACUGCUUACUGGUCCUACAGACUCCAGCAAGCUUCCUGCUUCUCAUGUGUUUGAAACAGGAUUUAACUGGGAUUUUUUGGUGCUUUCUGUAAGUUUCUCCAACUCUUUCAGUCUUUCUUAUUGCUUUUUCCCUAUCAUCUGCCUGGGUUUACAAGCCUUUCUACUUUUCUCAUUUGUCAGACCCAAGCUAUCUGAAGGAUGCAUUCUUGCUUUUAGUAGUAUACUUUUCCUGCUGUUUAGCCAUCUUAGUUUCCUUCUUCUUCUUUUUAUUUUUUUUUUUUCUGCAAGGUGAUCUCUUUUGAUAAAUAGGAUGCAUUUGCUCUAGGAUUCCAUCACCAUCUUUAAACUGUCUCUGUGUUGCAUGGUAAGACUUAACUGGUUUUCUAGUUUCUCCAUUUUAAAAUCAAAUGUGACAGCAGUGGAAGUUUUAGCUUUCCUUGUAUCUGCAGGAAUGCUUAAUCUACCUGCAGUAUGGUCCCUGCAGCAGAGUGGACCUUUGAUAAAGAUGUUAUAAACUAAGCACAGUCCACUGGCCUGGCUCUUAGAAGUUGCUCUUGUGGCUUCCUUGACUACUGCUCCAUGAAGUGGUCACUGAUGGUCUCAAAGAACAGACUUGACAUUGGGCCUUGAUAUGACAUUUACCCAAGCUACAAAGGGGUCAUGGAAAUUGUUUAUCUUUAUUGUGUUUGCUGCCCUCAGAAGCACUCUGAUCUCUCUCAAAAUGUCACAGUCACUGUCUCACUGUUACCAUCCUGGUCAGUCAAUGGAUAAUUUAGUCCUAAUGCAGUAUUUUUCCUAUUUAAGUGUAAAACUUGAGUUGCUGACAGGGCUAUUCUACUGAUCUGAUUUGAUUUCAAACUUUAACACUAAGCACCAUCUACCACCGCUGCUUGACUCCAUCUUUCAUGAACAUUGUGUUGUUUGGUCUUACAGUGCCCCAUGACCUCCCUCUCCCCUCCUGGAAUCUUUCAGUAGGUCUGGUAAGUCAAUACCGUGGCUUAUAGCUAUUUCUUAGGCAUUUAUACAGAAUCACAUGACCUGCUGCUCUGCUUUCUGACUUCUCUGCAGCUUGCUUAAAUGGCACGUGGCUGGCACCAACUGUUGAUUUUCUUUCUUGAUUGAUUGCUGCUGAUUCCUGCCCUGACCUUGAAUUUAAAGACACAGAAUUGUUAUUGCAAGUGUUUCAUCUCAGAAGACACCUGCCUUCUCAGGUUUAAAGAGACAAGACGGAGAACACGGAAGACAUCAACACCUUCCAGCAAUCCAAAUAAAUAAACAUCAUUUUUGAUGUCAGUCCUUUAAUGGCUGUCCUCCUCCUUGAAUAUUAAGAAUAUCAUCACAGAACCUAGAAAGCCAGCCAGAAGAGUUGUGAUUUUUACUAAAUGGUAUUAACAAAACCAAAGCUAAAAAAGCAUGAGAAAUGGAGAGUAAUGCUGCAUUUUGUAUAGAUCUUCUAUUGUGGCGCUGCACGUUUGGUUUCAUUAAACUGUCUAAUUUCAGAAUAUAAGUGUUUCUGAACAAACUUUCUUUACCCAGUAAACUUUCAUUUUUUUCUUCACUAAAGUAAUUCAAUAAGUAAACUCAGUAAGAUUGCAGGUGACACUAAGUUGGCAGGAAGUGUCAAUCUGCCUGGGAGUAGAAGGCACUUCAGAGGGAUCUGGACAGGCUGGGCUGAGGCCAAUGGGAUGAAGUCCAACAACACCAACAGCCAGGUACUGCAUUUUGGCCACGAGAACCCCAGGCACCGCUACAGCCUUGGGGCAGAGUGGCUAGAAGACUGUGUUGGAAGAAAUGGACCUGGGGGUGUUGGUCUGUGCUCAGCUGAAUGUGUGCCCAGGUGACCCUAAGGUUGAUGGCAUCCUGGCUUCUAUCAAAAAUAGUGUUGUCAGCAGGAGCAGGGAGGUGAUUAUCUCUCUGUACUCAGCUCUUUUCCUACCUUAAUGAUACUACAAUUCUAAAGUUUUUAGAAAAACAUCUUCUG
rnacentral:lncRNA from 1 species